rnacentral:tRNA from 1 species
CAAAAUAUAGCUUAAUUUAAAGCAUUUCGCUUACACCGAACUUAUACCUGUUUAAUUCGGGUUAUUUUGAGC